rnacentral:lncRNA from 10 species
ACUCUCUGAAGUUCCUGAUAAAGGGUAAUCCUGGGAACUGGUGUUUUUUUAACAAAAACUCUUCAUGUGAUUCCGAUGCACUCUUCUGAGGGAGCAAACAUAAUGAAGACAUUGUUCCUAUUCACAAAGAUGAAUGGGAGAAGAAUAAACAUAACUUAUAAGGAAAACUGCAUCAAGGAUGGACACAGUAACGACAGAGACAGGAGGCAGCCAACAGUCUCCCAGUGAAACCCCUCCUUCAAGCCUAAAACAGUCUGAAGGCUGAAAAACCAGAGUGCUAGUCUGGAUGAAGUCUGCCCUUUCCCAACCGAUUCUUUCUGAAUAAUGGCCACCUGCGCACUGGGAGGACUGGGUGGAGCCUUGGGAAGUUCACGCUAUUUGCAGUGGCGAGGAUCCUGGCAUCUCCUGUUCCUGUGUGGUGACCUGGGAUUCAAUCUUUGAGGAGGAAAACCUGCUAGCCGGCCUCUCUUUCGGUUUGCUGGAGUUCCUGUUUCCCUUUUUUUUUUCCUUUUCACCCGAUAAACCCUGCCCUACUAACCUUACA